rnacentral:rRNA from 1 species
CCUACGGUGUGCUGCAGUGGGGAAUAUUUCACAAUGGGGGAAACCCUGAUGCCGCGACGCCGCGUGAAGGAAGAAGUAUUUCGGUAUGUUAACUUUUAUCAGCAGGGAAGAAAAUGCAGGUACCUGACUAAGAAGCCGCGGCUAACUACGUGCCAGCAGCCGCGGGAAUACGUAGGGGGCAAGCGUUAUCCGGGUUUACUGGGCGUAAAGGGAGCGUAGGCGGCGUUGCAAGUCAGAAGUGAAAGCCCGGGGGUCAACUCCGGGACUGCUUUUGAAACUGGAUGGCUAGAUUGCAGGAGAGGCAAGUGGAAUUCCUAGUGUAGCGGUGAAAUGCGUAGAUAUUAGGAGGAACACCAGUGGCGAAGGCGGCUUGCUGGACUGUAAAUGACGCUGAGGCUCGAAAGCGUGGGGAGCAAACAGGAUUAGAUACCCCAGUAGUC